rnacentral:sRNA from 1 species
GAAGCUGGCCAAUGGCAGCCUGGAGCCACCUGCCCAGGCAGCUCCAGGGCCUUCCAAGAGGGACUCGGACUGCAGCAGCCUCUGCACCUCUGAGAGCAUGGACUAUGGUACCAAUCUCUCCGCUGACCUGUCGCUGAACAAAGAGAUGGGCUCUCUGUCCAUCAAGAUAAGCAGAUGAAGGCUCAGAGAAGUGAGGAGCCAGCCCAGGGCCAGGUAGGAGUGGGAAGAUGGACAGACCCCAGGCUCCAAACUCUAAACCUUCCCAGUGGGAGCCAUGGCCUCCUUCUUAGGCAGCUGGAAGGGGCUGACUCCUUUCCUGGCCUCCCUGAUAAAUCCCAGGGUGUUACUAAACUCACCAUGGGUCACCUGACCCUCUACCCAAAGCUCAUUUUAGAGGAAAUACUGUAUGAUUUUGUUUUUCCUUCCCAAAUGUACUUGGUGAAAAACACGCAGUAGAGACUCGAACAUAUUUGCUAAGCAAAGGGGAGUGACAGGAGCCGCAACGGCCAAUCAGCUUUAGGCAGGGAAGGGAAGCACAGUUCCAACAGGCCACCGGGACAAGCAUGCACAGCAGCUGUUACCUGUGAGCAGCGUCUUCCUUAGGACCGGCAUCCUGCCACUUCUCUUCCUGAAGACACUAAGUGAAAAAAA